AGCGAACGCUGGCGGCAGGCCUAACACAUGCAAGUCGAACGAAGUCUUCGGACUUAGUGGCGGACGGGUGAGUAACACGUGGGAACGUGCCUUUAGGUUCGGAAUAACUCAGGGAAACUUGUGCUAAUACCGAAUGUGCCCUUCGGGGGAAAGAUUUAUCGCCUUUAGAGCGGCCCGCGUCUGAUUAGCUAGUUGGUGAGUUAAAGGCUCACCAAGGCUACGAUCAGUAGCUGGUCUGAGAGGAUGACCAGCCACAUUGGGGCUGAGACACGGCCCAAACUCCUACGGGAGGCAGCAGUGGGGAAUCUUGCGCAAUGGGCGAAGGCCUGACGCAGCCAUGCCGCGUGGAUGAUGAAGGUCUUAGGAUUGUAAAAUCCUUUCACCGGUGAAGAUAAUGACUGUAGCCGGAGAAGAAGCCCCGGCUAACUUCGUGCCAGCCGCCGCUGUAACAC
rnacentral:rRNA from 1 species